GUACCUACAAAGAACAGACCUGUGCUGCUCCAGAGAUAACCGGCGUGCAACGUCUUUGUUAUAUAGCCCAUCUAUCUCAGGAAGGAAUCAAGCAGUAGUGAAUAUUGAACGACGUUAUUUAUAAGGCAAAAGUUGUAUUCUACAUCCGUCAUGCCUAAAGAUGUUAAGUAUUUAUCAAACAGACGAAGGAAUCAAAUUAUUAGUAAAGAUGUAUAUAAUAGUGAAAAUAAUGUUUUAUUGGAAAGAGCUUCACCCAAUGCAGCAUCUAUUAUUAUAGUAAAAGCAGAUAAUAUUAUUGUAAAUUCUGAUAACAUAUCGUAUACUAAUAAUGUAUCACUUAAAGAUACAAAGCAAUCGGAGAAAUUAUCAGUAGAGUUGCAGUAUGAAAGUGAUGAAGAAUAUAUUCCUGAAUCACAAGAAAAUAUACCUAUAUUAACCAAUAUUUCUGAGAGCAGCAAAGAGCAAAGCUUACGUAAAGACUUACAAAAGUUAAUUAUACAACGUAACAUCCCUCACAGUACUGCUAAUGAGUUACUUGCAAUAUUAAAAAAACAUGGUCAUAUAGAAUUGCCUAGUGAUGUUAGGGUUUUACUUCAUACGCCACGCAAUGCAUCUGUAAAUAUUAAAUGCAUGGGUAAUGGUCAUUAUAUACAUUUUGGUCUUACUUCAGUUUUAGCUCGAUCCAUAGAAAUAUAUUCCAAGUUUAUUAAGAUAAGUGAAAUUAAAAUAAACAUAAAUAUAGAUGGCUUGCCAAUUUAGAAGAGUUCUACUAGCCAAUUCUGGCCCAUAAUGGGACCGAUUGAAGAUAUUGGUAUUCAUCGGCAUUCAUUGCCAUUUGUAAUUGGUGUAUAUCACGGUAUGUGUAAACCAAGCAAUGUAAAUGAUUUCCUCACCAGUUUUGUUGAUGAAUUUUUAUUCUUAUCCAAAAGUGGUAUAAUUGUUCAUAAUAAUAAAUAUAAAGUGAGUAUUAACGUAAUAUUGUGUGAUGCUCCAGCUAAAUCAUUCAUAACGUGCACAAAGGGUCACACAAGAUAUUUCUCGUGUUCUAAAUGUGUUCAAGAAGACGACUUCAUAAACAAUACAGUAAUUUUCCUUGAAACUAAUAGUAUGUUACGUACAGAUAACUCGUUUAAAAUUCGAAGUCAAACUGAACAUCAUACAGGCGAUUCUAUAUUGGAAAAUCUUUCCAUCGAGAUGGUUUCACAAAUCCCACUUGAUUAUAUGCACCUUAUUUGCUUGGGUGUUACGAAACGGUUAUUGCAAUUGUGGAUUAGGGAAAAUAAAAGUAACAGAUUAAAUGCAGAAAAUAUUAAUUUAACUUCACAACAUUUAAUAAAUAUAAAAUAUUGCAUUCCAUCUGAAUUUGCAAGAAAGCCUAGAACUUUACUCGAUAUUGAUAGAUGGAAAGCUACGGAAUUGCGCCAAUUUUUGUUAUAUACUGGAAUAGUAAUUUUGAAGUCAACCUUAUCUCCGCUAUGGUAUAACCAUUUCCUUUCCCUUAGUAUUGCGAUAAGAAUAAUGGCUAAUCCGCAAUUAUGCACGAAAUAUCUUGCUUAUGCUUAUUCAUUAUUAUUAUGGUUUGUAUCCAAUUACGGAGUUAUUUACGGAGAAGAAUAUAUAUCACACAAUGUUCAUAAUCUUAUUCAUAUUGCUAAUGAUGUAAAAAUUUUUGGGUGUCUUGAUAAUUUCAGUUGCUUUAAGUUCGAAAAUCAUAUGCAAAAAAUAAAAAGAAAAUUGCAUAAUUGUGGAAAACCGUUACAAGAAUUAUCAAAUCUCAUAUUUGAAGUAUCUCAACAAGAAAUUAUACAGCACUCUGUAAUAAAUUAUCCAUCUGUCAUUUACACAAAUAAUAAAAAAAUUUCUUAUGUUCAAUAUGAAAACUUUAAAAUUGCAUUAACUGAAAUUGACAAGUGUGCUUUGCUUAAUGAUAAUUCUUUAAUUUUUAUUUUAGAUAUAAUUAAUGAGAACAGCAUAUUAUUUUUUCAUGCGAAACGUUUUUUAAAUACAAAAUCUUUUUUUACUGUUCCAUGUGCUUCGGAAGAGUUGGAUAUAUUUAUAAUUUUAAGCACAACUGCGGCAGAAACUAUAACAGUUCCACUCACCGAAAUCAAGAAAAAAUGUUUAAUAUUGAAAAAUACGGACCAACCUGAUUCUUAUAUUACAAUACCACUACUUCAUACUAACAAUUAGAUGCUCUGCAUUGUUAUUAAUUAGAAAGUAUUUGAACAAACCAAAAAAAAUAUGAUGAUGAAUAUUAAUCAUUGCAACGUGUUUCUUCGUCUUGAAUAAAUAAAUACUGAUAUACUUACAUACUUGGAAACGUGAAAAUAUUAUCCGCAUUCAAUAAAACAAACAUUUAUAAGGGUGAAUUUGUGAACUGUGUUUUAUUUAAUAAGAGAACUUGUUUUCUAAUGGAAGAAUAGUUCCAUUAGAUAAAACA